rnacentral:rRNA from 1 species
UACGAAGGGUGCAAGCGUUAAUCGGAAUUACUGGGCGUAAAGCGUGCGUAGGCGGUUUCUUAAGUCUGCUGUGAAAGCCCUGGGCUCAACCUGGGAAUGGCGGUGGAUACUGAGAAGCUGGAGUACGGUAGAGGAAGGUGGAAUUCCUGGUGUAGAGGUGAAAUUCGUAGAUAUCAGGAGGAACACCGGUGGCGAAGGCGGCUUCCUGGCCAUUCACUGACGCUGAGACGCGAAAGCGUGGGGAGCAAACAGG